UACGAAGGGGGCUAGCGUUGUUCGGAUUUACUGGGCGUAAAGCGCACGUAGGCGGAUCGUUAAGUCGGGGGUGAAAUCCUGGAGCUCAACUCCAGAACUGCCUUCGAUACUGGCGAUCUUGAGUCCGGAAGAGGUGAGUGGAACUCCUAGUGUAGAGGUGGAAUUCGUAGAUAUUAGGAAGAACACCAGUGGCGAAGGCGGGUCUCUGGGCCGUUACUGACGCUGAGGAGCGAAAGCGUGGGGAGCGAACAGG
rnacentral:rRNA from 1 species